rnacentral:lncRNA from 1 species
CAUAAUUAUUGGACUAGUCCUACGCAAAAUUUUGGUGGUAAAAUCCUGAGGAUUGACACUUUUCGCGAACUCUUUUAUUUAUAUUUAUCAAUAAAUGUUUUUAUAAAUAAAACCCUAUUAAAAUUCCCUUGUUUUCAUGAUAAUACAAUUUAUGUGCACUUGGUGAAUGUUGAUGACGAUGACAAAAUCAUUCUGAAGAUAUUAUCAGAUGGCAAUCUGGCCUGCAUGUUAUAUAAAAAAAAAAAACAUAAAGGUAAGUGCAUAUUGUCUUCUUUUGUUAAUAUAUGGAAAGAAAAAUAUCUCCUGAUUCUGUUCAUAUACCUGAUGCCUUUUAUCUUGCCCAAAUAACCCCACAAUUGACGUUUUUUAGACUCUUGUGACCCUAUUUAUGGUCAAAAGAAAAUAUGUUAAUUUUAUUGAAAAGUCCAGAGAAAUCUGAAAGAAAUGUUGACCUAUAUAAAAAAAAAUCAUAGAUGAAUGCUAAGUACACCACCGAAAUGGAUGAACUUGAAUUUAGUGCUCUUUUAAAGGAGGAACUUACAAAAAAAAAAAAAAAAAAAAGAAAUCUUUCCUUUAGGGGACGACCAUUUGAUAUUCGGGGGGGGGGGGGGGGGGGGGGGGGGGGUCAGGAGGAUUUGUUUUUGAUCGGUUAUUUAUUUUUGUAAACUAAGAGGACAGAUUAUUCAUUUUCUGCACUAUUGAAGCAAGAUUUUUCAUUUUCAUUAAAGCAAGGGACUGAUUAUUCAUUUCACAACUAUAUUUUUGAUAUUCGAAAACAUACAAUUUUUUAAGGGCUAUUCCAGUAAAAAUUAUCCAGGGGGGGUGGAACGCCACUUAUAUUUUGACCCCCCACCUAUGGAAAAGAUUAAAAAAUUACACCCCCACCUAGAACAUGUAUUUUCUUCCAAAACCCCCUACCUAGAGAAAAAAAAUAAAAGUUAGCUAGUUUUUUAAAGUAUACAAAAAUGUUGCAUCCUGUCAAAUAAAUGUAAAAUUUGUUGGUUUAUCUAUUUCAGUGCAGAAUAUUGGAGUCUUUUCAUUUGAGAUUGCAUUAAAAGACAUUUUGAAGCAACAGUACAUGAAGUUUAGUAGGACUAAAGAAUUCCUGCACCCCUGUAUUUCAAAUGAACCAUUCAUUUUAAUUAUGGCCCAUUUUAUUUUUAAAACUGUCAAUAACAUUUUCAGGUACAAUGUCGUAUAUUCUUCAGGUGGGGAAACUGGUUGGCACCAACCAUUUGAUGUUUCAGAGUUUAGGCCUGGGAGUUUAGUUUGAGCCAUAAAAUAUUUUUAGUAGGCAGAAUGUAAUUCAUUUUCUUUUUAUACGACUGCAAAAUUUGAAAAAUUUUUCGUCGUAUAUUGCUAUCACGUUGGCGUCGUCGUCUGCGUCGUCGUCGUCGUCGUCCGAAUACUUUUAGUUUUCGCACUCUAACUUUAGUAAAAGUGAAUGGAAAUCUAUGAAAUUUUAACACAAGGUUUAUGACCACAAAAGGAAGGUUGGUAUUGAUUUUGGGAGUUUUGGUCCCAACAUUUUAGGAAUUAGGGGCCAAAAAGGGC